rnacentral:rRNA from 1 species
AACAAACGCUGGCGGCGUGCCUAAUACAUGCAAGUCGAACGGGGAAAGCUUUCGGGUGAGUACUAGUGGCGCACGGGUGAGGAACGCGUGGAUAAUCUGCCUUAGAGUGGGGGAUAACUAGUCGAAAGAUUAGCUAAUACCGCAUAAGACCACAGGAGCUGCGGCUCAAGGGGUCAAAGGUUUUUCGCUCUAAGAUGAGUCCGCGUAAGAUUAGCUAGUUGGUGAGGUAACGGCUCACCAAGGCGACGAUCUUUAACUGGUCUGAGAGGAUGAUCAGUCACACUGGAACUGAGACACGGUCCAGACUCCUACGGGAGGCAGCAGUAGGGAAUAUUGCACAAUGGAGGAAACUCUGAUGCAGCGACGCCGCGUGAGUGAUGAAGGCCUUCGGGUCGUAAAGCUCUGUCGCAGGGGAAUAACACAAUGAAUGUACCCUGUAAGAAAGGAUCGGCUAACUUCGUGCCAGCCGCCGCCGUAACAC